rnacentral:rRNA from 1 species
UCGGGAAUAUUGCGCAAUGGAGGAAACUCUGACGCAGUGACGCCGCGUAUAGGAAGAAGGUUUUCGGAUUGUAAACUAUUGUCGUGAGGGAAGAAAUUGACAGUACCUCAGGAGGAAGCUCCGGCUAACUAUGUGCCAGCAGCCGCGGUAAUACAUAGGGAGCAAGCGUUAUCCGGAUUUAUUGGGUGUAAAGGGUGCGUAGACGGGAAAUUAAGUUAGUUGUGAAAUCCCUCGGCUUAACUGAGGAACUGCAACUAAAACUGGUUUUCUUGAGUACUGGAGAGGAAAGUGGAAUUCCUAGUGUAGCGGUGAAAUGCGUAGAUAUUAGGAGGAACACCAGUGGCGAAGGCGACUUUCUGGACAGUAACUGACGUUGAGGCACGAAAGUGUGGGGAGCAAACAGG